UACAGGGGUCCCGAGCGUUGUUCGGAUUUAUUGGGCGUAAAGGGUGCGUAGGCGGCGGAGUAAGUUGGGUGUGAAAUCCCGGGGCUCAACCUCGGAAUUGCAUUCAAUACUGCUUCGCUCGAGUACUGGAGAGGAGGCUGGAAUUUACGGUGUAGCAGUGAAAUGCGUAGAUAUCGUAAGGAAGGCCGGUGGCGAAAGCGAGCCUCUGGACAGUUACUGACGCUGAUGCACGAAGGCCAGGGGAGCAAACGGG
rnacentral:rRNA from 1 species